GACGAACGCUGGCGGCGCUUCUAACACAUGCAAGUCGAACGAGCGAGAGAGAGCUUGCUUUCUCAAGCGAGUGGCGAACGGGUGAGUAACGCGUGAGGAACCUGCCUCAAAGAGGGGGACAACAGUUGGAAACGACUGCUAAUACCGCAUAAGCCCACAGGUCGGCAUCGACCAGAGGGAAAAGGAGCAAUCCGCUUUGAGAUGGCCUCGCGUCCGAUUAGCUAGUUGGUGAGGUAACGGCCCACCAAGGCGACGAUCGGUAGCCGGACUGAGAGGUUGAACGGCCACAUUGGGACUGAGACACGGCCCAGACUCCUACGGGAGGCAGCAGUGGGGAAUAUUGCACAAUGGGGGAAACCCUGAUGCAGCGACGCCGCGUGGAGGAAGAAGGUCUUCGGAUUGUAAACUCCUGUUGUUGAGGAAGAUAAUGACGGUACUCAACAAGGAAGUGACGGCUAACUACGUGCCAGCAGCCGCGGUAAAACGUAGGUCACAAGCGUUGUCCGGAAUUACUGGGUGUAAAGGGAGCGCAGGCGGGAAGACAAGUUGGAAGUGAAAUCUAUGGGCUCAACCCAUAAACUGCUUUCAAAACUGUUUUUCUUGAGUAGUGCAGAGGUAGGCGGAAUUCCCGGUGUAGCGGUGGAAUGCGUAGAUAUCGGGAGGAACACCAGUGGCGAAGGCGGCCUACUGGGCACCAACUGACGCUGAGGCUCGAAAGUGUGGGUAGCAUACAGG
rnacentral:rRNA from 1 species